GUGUUGCAAAAGAAGUAGGUAGCUUAACCUUCGUGAUGGAGAUUACCACUUUGUGUUUCAUGACUGGGGUGAAGUAGUAACAUGGUAUAAGUAGGGGAACCUGCGGUUGGAUCACCUCCUUA
rnacentral:rRNA from 1 species